rnacentral:sRNA from 1 species
UUAACAGCACGGGGAGCUGGGCUCUUCUCCUUGCCCAGAGAACAGGUCUUGCCUGCAUUAGUGACAGCUUCCCAAUAUACCCUGCCAACGUGCAUCAGCGCGGAAGGACCACCUCUCAGGGUGAGGCGGUAGUUCGGUCUCCACGGCCCAUUUGGUGCUUUGAUCCU